rnacentral:rRNA from 1 species
AUUGAACGCUGGCGGCAGGCCUAACACAUGCAAGUCGAACGAGUGGCGGACGGGUGAGCAAUGUCUGGGAAACUGCCCGAUGGAGGGGGAUAACUACUGGAAACGGUAGCUAAUACCGCAUACCAUCGGAUGUGCCCAGAUGGGAUUGGCUAGUAGGUGGGGUAACGGCUCACCUAGGCGACGAUCCCUAGCUGGUCUGAGAGGAUGACCAGCCACACUGGACCUGAGACACGGUCCAGACUCCUACGGGAGGCAGCGGGGGGGAAUAGUGCACGAUGGGCGGAAGCCGUGUGCAGCGACGCCGCGUGGGGGAUGACGGCCUUCGGGUUGUAAACUCCUUUCACCUUCGACGCGGUAGAUGGAGAAGAAGCACCGGCUAACUACGUGCCAGCAGCCGCGGUAAUUC